GCCUGUGGUCUGCACGGCGGAGUUCGGCUUCAAGCUGCAGCCGGCCGCGCUGGAGAAGGCGAUCACGCCGAAGACCAAGUGGAUCAUCCUCAACUCGCCGUCGAACCCGACCGGCUCGGCCUAUACCCACGCCGAACUGAAGGCGCUCACCGACGUGCUGGUGAAGCAUCCGCAUGUCUGGGUGAUGACCGACGACAUGU
rnacentral:misc_RNA from 1 species